rnacentral:tRNA from 1 species
GGGGGGUUAGCUCAGAUGGCAGAGUGGCGUCUUCGCAUGGCGCAGGUCGUGGGUUCGAUUCCCAUACCCUCCACCA